AUAAAGAACCCCCUGCUCAAAGUCACAUGUGUCCACAGAAUCCUAAAUCCUCGGAGGCUCCGAGUUCCAGGGGUGGGAACGCCCACUUCUGCGCCGCCCCUGUGAGCCCCGGCGUCACCUGAGGCCCCUGACAGCGCCCGGGUUACCAGGCAACCGGCCUUGUUGCCCGGCACUGCCCGUGAGCGCCUCCCAGCUGCCCUCCCAGCCAGAAGUGGUCCGGCCAAGGCUGCCCGGCUGGCAGAGGCCUCCCGGGGCGCUCCUGAUUGACAGGAUGCUAAAUGCAAGAGGUUUCCUGCGAUAGAGAAAGAGAUUUUCUUGAAGCAUUCAACUCCUGACCUUUAAGAGCUUGGGGAGCAAAAUGAUUUUCAGUCACUUGGGCCUGAGUGAAAGAACCUCUGGAAUGUCUCGAAUAUGGCCCCCACCAGAGUACUACCUUCCCCGGUAUCCCACUCUGGUGUGCCAUGAGCGAACGUUUUAACAAUAACCCCAAGACAGCAUGCCAGGGAGUUAUCCACGCCAGCUGAGGAGCCCUCCCCACCGGCCAGCGGCCAGCAGUAGGUCCCUGCCCUCGUGGAACUUCCAUUCUGGUGGAUAUAAGUAGUGAGCACUUGAAGACAGAAACACCCAUCUGGCUGCAUAAACGCUCCCUGAAUGAGUAAAAUGAAAAACUAAUU